rnacentral:rRNA from 1 species
CCGAGUUUACAACUCCCAAACCCAAUGUGAACCAUACCAAACUGUUGCCUCGGCGGGGUCACGCCCCGGGCGCGUCGCAGCCCCGGAACCAGGCGCCCGCCGGAGGGACCAACCAAACUCUUUUCUGUAGUCCCCUCGCGGACGUUAUUUCUUACAGCUCUGAGCAAAAAUUCAAAAUGAAUCAAAACUUUCAACAACGGAUCUCUUGGUUCUGGCAUCGAUGAAGAACGCAGCGAAAUGCGAUAAGUAAUGUGAAUUGCAGAAUUCAGUGAAUCAUCGAAUCUUUGAACGCACAUUGCGCCCGCCAGUAUUCUGGCGGGCAUGCCUGUCCGAGCGUCAUUUCAACCCUCGAACCCCUCCGGGGGGUCGGCGUUGGGGACCUCGGGAGCCCCUAAGACGGGAUCCCGGCCCCGAAAUACAGUGGCGGUCUCGCCGCAGCCUCUCCUGCGCAGUAGUUUGCACAACUCGCACCGGGAGCGCGGCGCGUCCACGUCCGUAAAACACCCAACUUCUGAAAUGUUGACCUCGGAUCAGGUAGGAAUACCCGCUGAACUUAAGCAUAUCAAA